rnacentral:rRNA from 1 species
GAUGAACGCUGGCGGCGUGCCUAAUACAUGCAAGUCGAGCGAACGGACGAGAAGCUUGCUUCUCUGAUGUUAGCGGCGGACGGGUGAGUAACACGUGGAUAACCUACCUAUAAGACUGGGAUAACUUCGGGAAACCGGAGCUAAUACCGGAUAAUAUUUUGAACCGCAUGGUUCAAAAGUGAAAGACGGUCUUGCUGUCACUUAUAGAUGGAUCCGCGCUGCAUUAGCUAGUUGGUAAGGUAACGGCUUACCAAGGCAACGAUGCAUAGCCGACCUGAGAGGGUGAUCGGCCACACUGGAACUGAGACACGGUCCAGACUCCUACGGGAGGCAGCAGUAGGGAAUCUUCCGCAAUGGGCGAAAGCCUGACGGAGCAACGCCGCGUGAGUGAUGAAGGUCUUCGGAUCGUAAAACUCUGUUAUUAGGGAAGAACAUAUGUGUAAGUAACUGCGCACAUCUUGACGGUACCUAAUCAGAAAGCCACGGCUAACUACGUGCCAGCAGCCGCGGUAAUACGUAGGUGGCAAGCGUUAUCCGGAAUUAUUGGGCGUAAAGCGCGCGUAGGCGGUUUUUUAAGUCUGAUGUGAAAGCCCACGGCUCAACCGUGGAGGGUCAUUGGAAACUGGAAAACUUGAGUGCAGAAGAGGAAAGUGGAAUUCCAUGUGUAGCGGUGAAAUGCGCAGAGAUAUGGAGGAACACCAGUGGCGAAGGCGACUUUCUGGUCUGUAACUGACGCUGAUGUGCGAAAGCGUGGGGAUCAGACAGGAUUAGAUACCCUGGUAGUCCACGCCGUAAACGAUGAGUGCUAAGUGUUAGGGGGUUUCCGCCCCUUAGUGCUGCAGCUAACGCAUUAAGCACUCCGCCUGGGGAGUACGACCGCAAGGUUGAAACUCAAAGGAAUUGACGGGGACCCGCACAAGCGGUGGAGCAUGUGGUUUAAUUCGAAGCAACGCGAAGAACCUUACCAAAUCUUGACAUCCUUUGACAACUCUAGAGAUAGAGCCUUCCCCUUCGGGGGACAAAGUGACAGGUGGUGCAUGGUUGUCGUCAGCUCGUGUCGUGAGAUGUUGGGUUAAGUCCCGCAACGAGCGCAACCCUUAAGCUUAGUUGCCAUCAUUAAGUUGGGCACUCUAAGUUGACUGCCGGUGACAAACCGGAGGAAGGUGGGGAUGACGUCAAAUCAUCAUGCCCCUUAUGAUUUGGGCUACACACGUGCUACAAUGGACAAUACAAAGGGCAGCGAAACCGCGAGGUCAAGCAAAUCCCAUAAAGUUGUUCUCAGUUCGGAUUGUAGUCUGCAACUCGACUACAUGAAGCUGGAAUCGCUAGUAAUCGUAGAUCAGCAUGCUACGGUGAAUACGUUCCCGGGUCU